rnacentral:piRNA from 1 species
UAUUCUAUUAUGCUUACAGAC